UCCUUCUCCCUCACUGGUUUCUCUUUCUCCCUCACAUUCACAGAUCAAGCAAAGAGACUUCAUCUCGUCACCACGAUCACACUACCACCACCUGUACCUUAUUCUUCUUCUCAUUCUUCUUUCUUUAUCACCAACAGUUGAAGAAUCACUGGAAACCCUAGCCGUCUCUUAAAAUCUAAACAACGAAUCGAAGAAGACAUAUCAUUUUUUUGAAUCUGCACCCAAAUUCUUCGAUCUACAAACCCUAAUUUGAUACUUCUAGGCUAAGAUUUGGAUCGGAAUCAUAUCAGAGUGGAUGUUUUAUGGACGGGAGAAGAAGAACAAGAAGAAGAAGAACAAGAAGAAGAAGAAGAAGAGGUGGGUUUGCUGGUGGUAGCGACGAAGAAUACUCAUCUAUGGUUUACCAGGCAUUAGAAGGCUUAACCGAAGCAACUUAAAGUUUCCCAAUGCUCUAAAGUAUCUGGUAUAUAUCUCUCUUUCUUUAUAUGGGAUUGUGAGUUUAUACAUACAGUAAGAUAAAUUCGACAAUGCUGCAACCACAUCACUCUUCAGAAGCAUGGGACCACAUGCAAUUCAAAGAUGUAGCAGUUAAAGUUACAAAUGUGGAACUAUACUACAAGGUGGUUCACUUUUACUCGCAAGAAAGAACCUGAUCUUAUUAAUGAUAUGCUCAAUGUGAUUGCUCUUCGUGUGGACUAUACUUGUGUUGUAGACAUGCAAAAGGCUCGUCACCUGCUCCUUGUGAUACCAUACAUGGUUGGAGUUCAGAAUAACAAUGUUUCUGCUUUGAUGAGGCACUGAAUCAAAUCUAUCUUGAGGAGGAAGACUAUGAUAGGUUGCGCGCAUCAAUCGACAUGCAUAUAUGAUAAUUUGGAUCAGAUAAGCCUUGCACAAAAGGAAAGUGUACGGAUUUAUUGGAUUUCAAGCCGUGGGAAUAGGGUUGACAAGUCAGAUACGGCAAUGCUUGAGGAUACCGUGAGGAGUGUGCAAAGGGAAUGCCUUACAUGGGCGUAGGGUGUGGAUAAGCAGGCCUAGAUUUCGAAGUCAAUUGCACCCGAUGCAAGCUAAAUGUGGUGUUUUGAUUCAAUGAGUGGCAUGAAGAUGGAUGGUAUCAAUGAAUCUGCACUAGAUUGUCAAUCCUGUUCUUUCUCAGUGAAUAGAACCACCCUACACUGGAAUUUAGAACUGUUAUAUAUGUCUGUGUCAAGGUGUGGCGUUCAUCAUCUGAGAGUAUCUCGUUUUGCUGGUUUGUAGUUGUCUUGAUGAACCUUGGAACUUACGGUAUGACUUGUCUGAAUCUGUGAUUUGAUUACUUCUUUUCUUUUGUGAUUUAGAACUUAAGUGUAAACUGACUGCAGUUAUAAAUUGUGUAACCAGUGCAAUAACAUGAAUUUCUAUUUGAAUGGUCAUUUGAAUUCAUAAUUCAAAUUUCAUUUUAAUGUAAUUUGAGCUUGAAUCAGAUUUAUUUCAUA